GUCAGAACGGCCGAGUGGUUUAAGGUUCCAGACUCAAAGUGAUUCAAACUUCUCAGGUAAUGAGAACUUUGGUCUCCACAUGGUGGCGUGGGUUCAAUUCACACUUAUGACA
rnacentral:tRNA from 1 species